rnacentral:rRNA from 1 species
GACGAACGCUGGCGGCGUGCCUAAUACAUGCAAGUAGGACGCAGUUGCGAACGGGUGAGUAACGCGUAGGUAACUACCUAUUAGAGGGGGGUAAAUAUUGGAAACGAUAGCUAAUACCGCAUACUUGUAGAUGGACCUGCGUUGUAUUAGCUAGUAGGUAGGGUAAGGCCUACCCAGGCAACGAUACAUAGCCGGCCUGGGGGGGUGAAUCGGCAACCUGGGACUGGGACACCGCCCAGGCUCCUACGGGAGGCAGGAAGAGGGAAUCGUCGGCAAUGGGGGGAACGCUGACCGAGCAAAGGCGCGGGAGUGAAGAAAGUUUUCGGGUCGGAAAACUCUGUUGUUAAGGAAGCGGUACUUAACCAGAAAGGGACGGCUAACUACGUGCCAGCCGCCGCGGUAAUUC